UGGAAUCCAGGCAUAUGAAACAGUGAGGGUUUCUUCUCCGUGUCCCAGUAGGGGAGGUUUGUCCUUCUGAUACCCUGCUCAGAGAUUCCUUGAUUAACAGUUACACCAAGACUCAUGUAAUAGACAGGGGGAAUCCUCCACAGGACAGGAGUGUAGGUGCUGGGAGGGCAAAGUCUACACAUUCAUCACUCUCAGCCUCUGCAGUGAGUAGACGGGAGUCUUCGCGGCCCUGCCUGGGCUGUCUUGCCUGGUGUCUGUACUCAACUCUUCCUUUGCAUUGAGUUGUCCUUUUAUGCCUUGGACUGGAUACUCGGAACUCUGGCUUCCUCUACCAUUCUCAUCUGAUUUCCCUACUUUGCAUUAGGUAUCGAUAGAUCCAGCUUUUCCACUUUUAGUUCCUGAAAUGGUCCCCCUGCUUGCCUGGGAGGAGAGGGCAGACGAGGAAAUCUCAGCUGUCAGCAAUCAUAGAUGUGAUCUGGCACUCUCAGGCCCAGGGCAAAAGAAACUUGUUCAGGGUCAGUGAGUGAGUUAAGCAUAGAUUCAGGGUCAUGGUCCAAGCUUCUUUUUUUCAUGAAAGCAACUCUAGAAAACACAUUUAAGUGAAAAAUAGAGAGUGCCCACCCAAAUAAAUCCACCAUUUACAUUUGAAACUCACAUCUUUGGAUUUCUAGUUUAGUGGGGAGGCAAUACAGCAAAUUGGUAGAGAGAAUGGGCUGAGCCUGGCAGAUAGGAGCCACGUGUCCCUGGAAAUGUUGCCUAAACUAAGCUACAGUUAUCAUUUAUAAAAUAAUGGUAUUGUGAAGAAAAGUUAUGGCACUGUCUCUUAUGCAGUACUUAAAAAAUGUUGAUAAGUGCUCAAUGAAUAUUAACUUUUAGUAACAUCGUGGGUCCUCUCACGCUACCUUGCUGCCUGUCCAGCUCUUUUCCUGAUCUAUCUCCUUAGGCAAUUUUUCUCAAUUCCAGGCUUCAGGGGUGCUAUCCACUAAUUUG
rnacentral:lncRNA from 1 species